UACGUAGGGUGCAAGCGUUAAUCGGAAUUACUGGGCGUAAAGCGUACGCAGGCGGCUAUGUAAGACAGGUGUGAAAUCCCCGGGCCUAACCUGGGAACUGCAUUUGUGACUGCAUAGCUAGAGUCCGUCAGAGGGGGGUGGAAUUCCACGUGUAGCAGUGAAAUGCGUAGAGAUGUGGAGGAGCACCGAUGGCGAAGGCAGCCCCCUGGGAUGAGACUGACGCUCAUGUACGAAAGCGUGGGGAGCAAACAGG
rnacentral:rRNA from 1 species